rnacentral:rRNA from 1 species
GGUGAGUAACACGUGGGCAAUCUGCCCUGCACUCUGGGACAAGCCCUGGAAACGGGGUCUAAUACCGGAUAAUACUUUCUCCUGCAUGGGGGAGGGUUAAAAGCUCCGGCGGUGCAGGAUGAGCCCGCGGCCUAUCAGCUUGUUGGUGGGGUGAUGGCCUACCAAGGCGACGACGGGUAGCCGGCCUGAGAGGGCGACCGGCCACACUGGGACUGAGACACGGCCCAGACUCCUACGGGAGGCAGCAGUGGGGAAUAUUGCACAAUGGGCGAAAGCCUGAUGCAGCGACGCCGCGUGAGGGAUGACGGCCUUCGGGUUGUAAACCUCUUUCAGCAGGGAAGAAGCGAGAGUGACGGUACCUGCAGAAGAAGCGCCGGCUAACUACGUGCCAGCAGCCGCGGUAAUACGUAGGGCGCAAGCGUUGUCCGGAAUUAUUGGGCGUAAAGAGCUCGUAGGCGGUUUGUCACGUCGGAUGUGAAAGCCCGGGGCUUAACCCCGGGUCUGCAUUCGAUACGGGCAGACUAGAGUGUGGUAGGGGAGAUCGGAAUUCCUGGUGUAGCGGUGAAAUGCGCAGAUAUCAGGAGGAACACCGGUGGCGAAGGCGGAUCUCUGGGCCAUUACUGACGCUGAGGAGCGAAAGCGUGGGGAGCGAACAGGAUUAGAUACCCUGGUAGUCCACGCCGUAAACGUUGGGAACUAG